rnacentral:rRNA from 1 species
GGUGCGCCGGUAACGUUGAAAAUGCAGAAAAUGGGUUUCAAGGGGUCAUUUGAGCGAGCACUUUUUCACAUUGGUGAAGGAGACAGUACAACCGUUUUGGUCUCGGCGGACUCUCUAUAUGCAUAGGUGCAGCAACCACUCCCUCCAGAUAUGCCCAAAGGCAGUGAUUUAAAGUUCAUUGUGAAAAUGAAGAAAAUCCAAACGGAGAAGGAAAUGGAGACUGAGAUGAACAAAAAGAAAGCUGACGAAGGUAAAAUCAUGGCGGAUUAUGUAGCUAAAAAUAUGCCAAAGGCCGAAAAAACAGCCGAAGGACUUUAUUUUGUUACACAAAAAGCGGGAGCUGGGGCAACGCCGAAGACCGGAGAAAGCGUAGUAGUAAAAUACACAGGGAAGUUCAUGGAUGGAAAAGUUUUUGACUCUUCUGAAGGACGCGAUCCCAUCACCGUUCCUUUGGGACAACAAAUGGUGAUCCCCGGUUGGGAGGUUAUGUUGUCGAAAAUGACUAAAGGUCAGAAAGUGACGGUUUUGAUCCCUUCUGAAUUGGCGUAUGGUGCCCAAGGUGCCGGAAACGUCAUUCCACCUUACACCCCGAUUGUCUUCGAUAUGGAAGUAAUGGAUAUUGUAACUAAAAAGUAAAUUGAUGAAACGAGUAGGAUGGUUGAGUUUGGCAUGUAUUGCCCUUGGAUUUUUGACAAGCUGUAACAUGAAUUCAUUGGAAAAUGAAUACGAAGCAGCGGAUGACCGAAAUGCCGCCGAAAUUACGGCGUAUGCACAGCGUAAUAACUUGACUCUGAGCAAAACAGCUUUAGGUGUAUCGUAUCAAAUUACCCAAGCCAAUCCCAGCGGCCGGACGCUGAAAGAGGGAGAGCAAGCAGAACUUUUUUAUAAGCUUUCUCUGUUGGAUGGAACGGUGUUGGAUACGGCACUCGUUAAACCUGCUCGAAUCGGAUUUUUCAAUGGGGCCGCCUUUACCGGCUUCUUGGAUGCCAUGUUUCAAUUAAAAGAGGGUGAAAAAGGUAUCUUUUUGAUUCCAUCUUCUUUGGCUUUCGCGAAUCGGCCACCGGCGGGUGUUCCACAAUGGGCUGUUAUGCGGGCCGAUAUUGAAGCACGUAAAUAUCGGACCGAAGUUGAACAAAUUCAGGAGCACAUUGCGGUUAAUAAGUUAACCGUAUCCCGGGUUACCUCAACGAAUUUACACUUGGUGAAAACGGGUACCGUGGCCGCAGGAGAUAGUUUACGGACGGGAGAUCGAGUUGUGGUUAAGUAUAAAGGUUUGUAUCUCGACAAUACUUCGUUUGAUAGUAACGACUUGAGCGCUGUCUCGACGACGAGCCCGGUGAAAUUGUGAUACCUGUGAAGACGCAGGUUACCCGCGAUUGGACAGAAAGACCCCGUGGAGCUUCACUGCAGCCUGAUAUUGGAUUUUGGUACUUGAUGUACAGGAUAGGUGGGAGACUGAGAAUCCGGGUCGUCAGAUUCGGAGGAGUCAACGUUGGGAUACCACCCUUUGAGUAUUGGAAUUCUAACCUAGAGCCGUUGAACCGGUUUGGGGACAGUGUCAGGCGGGCAGUUUGACUGGGGCGGUCGCCUCCUAAAGAGUAACGGAGGCGCCCAAAGGUUUCCUCAGCGCGGUUGGGAAUCGCGCGUAGAGCGUAAAGGCAGAAGGAAGCUUGACUGCGAGAGACACAUCUCGAGCAGGGACGAAAGUCGGGCUUAGUGAUCCGGUGGCACCGAGUGGAAGGGCCAUCGCUUAACGGAUAAAAGCUACCCCGGGGAUAACAGGCUUAUCUCCCCCAAGAGUCCAUAUCGACGGGGAGGUUUGGCACCUCGAUGUCGGCUCAUCGCAUCCUGGGGCUGUAGUAGGUCCCAAGGGUUGGGCUGUUCGCCCAUUAAAGCGGUACGUGAGCUGGGUUCAGAACGUCGUGAGACAGUUCGGUCCCUAUCCGUCGCGGGCGCAGGAAAUUUGAGGGGUUUUGUCCCUAGUACGAGAGGACCGGGAUGAACAGACCUCUGGUGUAUCAGUUGUACCGCCAGGUGCAAGGCUGAGUAGCGAAGUCUGGAAGGGAUAAACGCUGAAAGCAUCUAAGCGUGAAACCCACCUCAAGAUGAGAUUUCCCAUGAACUUAGUUCAGUAAGACCCCAGGUAGACCACCUGGUUGAUAGGCCGGGAGUGUAAGAGUAGUAAUACUUUCAGCUGACCGGUACUAAUAGGUCGAGGGCUUGAUUA